ACUCCUACGGGAGGCAGCAGUGGGGAAUAUUGCACAAUGGGCGCAAGCCUGAUGCAGCCAUGCCGCGUGUGUGAAGAAGGCCUUCGGGUUGUAAAGCACUUUCAGUCGUGAGGAAGGUGGUAGUGUUAAUAGCACUAUCUAUUUGACGUUAGCGACAGAAGAAGCACCGGCUAACUCCGUGCCAGCAGCCGCGGUAAUACGGAGGGUGCGAGCGUUAAUCGGAAUUACUGGGCGUAAAGCGCAUGCAGGUGGUUUGUUAAGUCAGAUGUGAAAGCCCGGGGCUCAACCUCGGAAUAGCAUUUGAAACUGGCAGACUAGAGUACUGUAGAGGGGGUAGAAUUUCAGGUGUAGCGGUGAAAUGCGUAGAGAUCUGAAGGAAUACCGGUGGCGAAGGCGGCCCCUGGACAGAUACUGACACUCAGAUGCGAAAGCGUGGGAGCAAACAGGAUUAGAUACCCC
rnacentral:rRNA from 1 species